rnacentral:lncRNA from 13 species
AUGAACCUGCUCUUUCUGCUGGUCCUGGCUUUUCACCCUGACCUGGCCAUGGGAGGCAGAGCCCAGCGCAAACAAUGGCAGGCUGAGAGCAGUCUGAGACCAUAUCUGGGUAGAGUGGACCCAGUCCUACUAUGUGAGCUUCUGAAGUGUCACAGUCCAAUGGGCUCCUGGUGCCAGGUGGUGCAGGACAACGGAGUCCUCUUCCCAAAGUGUGUGUGUCCUAAGAUCUGCCCACGGCAGGGGGCACCAGUGUGCAGUGUUCUGGGAAGGACCUAUGGGAACGAGUGUCUGCUGCAUAGAGAAGCCUGCCGCAAGAGACGUCACAUUGGACUGGCUCAUAAAGGGCCUUGUCUGGUUCCCAAGGUAAACUGUACAGAGGAGGAGUAUGGCCAGUUCCCAUACCGCCUCAUGGACUGGUUCCUCCUAUUGAGUCGCAUGGGAGAGACCUACGCCCCCUACGCCCCGCCUCAGAGCUGCCUGAGCCACACCCAGCGCUCCCAACUAGCCCAGCGGAGGUUUGGCCUGCUGGACAAGAACAAGGAUGGAAAGCUGAGCCGGAAAGACCUGAGGAAGCUACGCUACAAAAGAAUGCCUCUAGAGCACUGUGCUACCUCCUUCUUCCAGUCGUGUGACCAUAACAAGAACACUAAGGUGACCCUGCAUGAAUGGAUCUCCUGUCUGGUGGAUCGCUCAGAGAUCUGGUUCCACAGCUUCAUGUGUGGGUGCAAUCCCUUAACUUCACUAUCCAAACUAGGCAACAUUAUCAAAUCAAAUCAAAUUGUAUUUGUCACAUUCUUUGUAAACAACAGGUGUAGACUAACAGUGGAAUGAGUACUUAUGGGCCCUUCCCAAUAACACAUAAUAAUAAAUACACAAUGAGCAACAAUAACUUGGCUAUAUACACAGAGUACCAGUACCAUUACCCUUAAAACCUAGUGAGUAAUUUGUUUCAUCUUUAAUUGAACCAAAUUUGAUUACAGCAAAUGCUUUGAUUACAACAAUUGAUUAUAGCAAAUGUUUCUUUCUCUCUCUGACAGCUAUGAAAAUGGGAUCCGGUAAGCUGUGUCCCAUGAAGACUGACAACCACCUUUGACCUGGAUAUGAACACCUCUCUUCUCGCAUUGUGUAUUAUUGUGUUAUCAUUUUUUAAAUGUUCUGUUACUUCUCAUUUUUAUCUCUCUGCGUUGGGCCCGUCAGUAAGCAUUUCAAUGUUAGUCUACACCUGUUGUUUAUGAAGCAUGUGACAAAUAACAUUUGAUUAUUUUUAAUUUGAUUUGUCUACAUGUGCAUCUGUGUAUCAAUGCUAUCUACAUUCUACAAUCAUCAGCAUCAAUUAAUUAUCCACUGCCUGUAUCAUAUUUCCACUACUCCAUCUAACGGUCACACUCAGUACUGCAUUUGUUUUUGAUUAAUGACAUCAUCUGUUUUGAGAAGUCCACUGUAGAUUUGUCUGUGUGGAGAAAUGGCCUGUAAUAAAUGUCUAUGAGUCUUGGCUACCAUCUUAGUGUCUAUAUGGGGAAGGCCGGAGGAGAGAGGGGCUCAUUAAGAACCAGGAGGACGUGUUGCAUGGAUCAAGCAUUCAAUUACUGUGGAGGGAGAGAUAGAUGGUGAAAGCCUCACAGAGACAAUGGGAUACUGUGAUGGAUGGAGGGAAGAGAUAGAAAAGAGGAAAGGAAGCUUAGUGUGAGAAGCCGUUACCAGGGAAGGGAACAAGGGAUACUAGGGGGAGACGGGGGAAGAAAGAGGAGUGUGGUAAUGCACUGUAAACGAAGGAGGGAAGUAAGAACGUGUGUUUAUGGAAGGGGGGGUAAUGCACUGUAAGUGGGGAGUAGAGAUGGCGGUGGGUAAAGUAAUGCAUGAAAAAUGGAUCAGAAAUGAGAGAAAGAACAAAAGGGGGAUGGAAUAGUCUGAGAGAAGUGGGAGAAGAAGAGUAACUGAGAAGAGGUUUGAUGUUGUGGAAAUAGUAGCCAUGGCGUAUGAUAUUUGUCAACAGGAAGCAGGAAAUGAAGAAAUAAUGCCCUCUUGUAAGGUCAAAGAGCCAAAUCAUC